rnacentral:rRNA from 1 species
GUACGUACAAGCAGUGGGAGCCCUUCGGGGUGACUGCGUACCUUUUGUAUAAUGGGUCAGCGACUUACAUUUUGUAGCGAGGUUAACCGUAUAGGGGAGCCGUAGGGAAACCGAGUCUUAACUGGGCGUCUAGUUGCAAGGUGUAGACCCGAAACCGGGUGAUCUAGCCAUGGGCAGGUUGAAGGUUGAGUAACAUCAACUGGAGGACCGAACCCACUAACGUUGCAAAGUUAGGGGAUGACCUGUGGCUGGGGGUGAAAGGCCAAUCAAACUCGGAGAUAGCUGGUUCUCCCCGAAAGCUAUUUAGGUAGCGCCUCGGACGAAUACUACUGGGGGUAGAGCACUGUUUGGGCUAGGGGGUCAUCCCGACUUACCAACCCCAUGCAAACUCCGAAUACCAGUAAGUAAUAUCCGGGAGACACACGGCGGGUGCUAACGUCCGUCGUGAAGAGGGAAACAACCCAGACCGCCGGCUAAGGUCCCAAAGUUCUGGUUAAGUGGGAAACGAUGUGGGAAGGCUCAGACAGCUAGGAUGUUGGCUUAGAAGCAGCCAUCAUUUAAAGAAAGCGUAAUAGCUCACUAGUCGAGUCGGCCUGCGCGGAAGAUGUAACGGGGCUCAAACCAGGCACCGAAGCCGCGGAUUCACACUAAGUGUGAGUGGUAGGGGAGCGUUCUGUAAGUCUGCGAAGGUGUGUCGAGAGGCAUGCUGGAGAUAUCAGAAGUGCGAAUGCUGACGUAAGUAACGAUAAAGGGGGUGAAAAGCCUCCUCGCCGGAAGACCAAGGGUUCCUGUCCAACGUUAAUCGGGGCAGGGUGAGUCGACCCCUAAGGCGAGGCCGAAAGGCGUAGUCGAUGGGAAGCAGGUUAAUAUUCCUGCACGACUUGUAAUUGCGAUGGGGGGACGGAGAAGGCUAGGUGGGCCAGGCGACGGUUGUCCUGGUGAAAGUGCGUAGGUGGUGUUUCUAGGCAAAUCCGGAGACACAACACUGAGACACGAGACGAACGCACUACGGUGCGGAAGCCAUUGAUGCCCUGCUUCCAGGAAAAGCCUCUAAGCUUCAGAUUACAAGUCAUCGUACCCCAAACCGACACAGGUGGUCGGGUAGAGAAUACCAAGGCGCUUGAGAGAACUCGGGUGAAGGAACUAGGCAAAAUAGAACCGUAACUUCGGGAGAAGGUUCGCUCUUGACAGUGAAGUCCCUUGCGGAUGGAGCAGUUGGGAGUCGCAGUGACCAGAUGGCUGGGACUGUUUAUCAAAAACACAGCACUCUGCAAACACGAAAGUGGACGUAUAGGGUGUGACACCUGCCCGGUGCCGGAAGGUUAAUUGAUGGGGUUAGCGCAAGCGAAGCUCUUGAUCGAAGCCCCGGUAAACGGCGGCCGUAACUAUAACGGUCCUAAGGUAGCGAAAUUCCUUGUCGGGUAAGUUCCGACCUGCACGAAUGGUGUAACCAUGGCCAUGCUGUCUCCACCCGAGACUCAGUGAAAUCGAAUUCGCCGUGAAGAUGCGGUGUACCCGCGGCUAGACGGAAAGACCCCGUGAACCUUUACUACAGCUUGGCACUGAACAUUGAACCUACAUGUGUAGGAUAGGUGGGAGGCUUUGAAGGCGUGACGCCAGUUGCGCUGGAGCCGUCCUUGAAAUACCACCCUUGUAUGUUUGAUGUUCUAACGCAGGCCCCUGAAUCGGGGUCGCGGACAGUGCCUGGUGGGUAGUUUGACUGGGGCGGUCUCCUCCCAAAGAGUAACGGAGGAGCACGAAGGUUGGCUAAUCCUGGUCGGACAUCAGGAGGUUAGUGCAAUGGCAUAAGCCAGCUUAACUGCGAGACGGACAGGUCGAGCAGGUACGAAAGUAGGUCAUAGUGAUCCGGUGGUUCUGAAUGGAAGGGCCAUCGCUCAACGGAUAAAAGGUACUCCGGGGAUAACAGGCUGAUACCGCCCAAGAGUUCAUAUCGACGGCGGUGUUUGGCACCUCGAUGUCGGCUCAUCACAUCCUGGGGCUGAAGUCGGUCCCAAGGGUAUGGCUGUUCGCCAUUUAAAGUGGUACGCGAGCUGGGUUCAGAACGUCGUGAGACAGUUCGGUCCCUAUCUGCCGUGGGCGUUGGAUGAUUGAAGGGAGUUGCUCCUAGUACGAGAGGACCGGAGUGAACGAACCUCUGGUGUUCGGGUUGUCACGCCAGUGGCACUGCCCGGUAGCUAAGUUCGGAAUCGAUAACCGCUGAAAGCAUCUAAGCGGGAAGCGAGCCCUGAGAUGAGUCAUCCCUGACCCCUUGAGGGUCCUAAAGGGCCGUUGGAGACCACAACGUUGAUAGGUGGGGUGUGUAAGCGCGGCGACGUGUUGAGCUAACCCAUACUAAUUACCCGUGAGGCUUAACCAUACAACACCCAAGAAGUGUUCU